rnacentral:rRNA from 1 species
GCAUAUCAAUAAGCGGAGGAAAAGAAACCAACAGGGAUUACCUCAGUAACGGCGAGUGAAGCGGUAACAGCUCAAAUUUGAAAGCUGGCUCUUUUAGGGUCCGCGUUGUAAUUUGUAGAAGAUGCUUCGGGUGUGGCCCCGGUCUAAGUUCCUUGGAACAGGACGUCAUAGAGGGUGAGAAUCCCGUAUGUGACUGGGUGCCUUCGCUCAUGUGAAGCUCUUUCGACGAGUCGAGUUGUUUGGGAAUGCAGCUCAAAAUGGGUGGUAAAUUUCAUCUAAAGCUAAAUAUUGGCCAGAGACCGAUAGCGCACAAGUAGAGUGAUCGAAAGAUGAAAAGCACUUUGGAAAGAGAGUUAAACAGUACGUGAAAUUGUUGAAAGGGAAGCGCUUGCAACCAGACUUGCGCGCUGAUGAUCAUCCGGGCUUCUGCCCGGUGCACUCGUCUGCGCUCAGGCCAGCAUCGGUUUCGGUGGUGGGAUAAAGGCCUUGGGAAUGUAGCUCCUCUCGGGGAGUGUUAUAGCCCUCGGUGCAAUGCCGCCUACCGGGACCGAGGACCGCGCUUCGGCUAGGAUGCUGGCGUAAUGGUUGUAAGCGACCCGUCUUGAAACACGGACCAAGGAGUCUAACAUCUAUGCGAGUGUUUGGGUGUCAAACCCAUACGCGUAAUGAAAGUGAACGGAGGUGAGAACCCUUAAGGGUGCAUCAUCGACCGGUCCUGAUGUCUUCGGAUGGAUCUGAGUAAGAGCAUAGCUGUUGGGACCCGAAAGAUGGUGAACUAUGCGUGAAUAGGGUGAAGCCAGAGGAAACUCUGGUGGAGGCUCGCAGCGGUUCUGACGUGCAAAUCGAUCGUCAAAUUUGCGUAUAGGGGCGAAAGACUAAUCGAACCAUCUAGUAGCUGGUUCCUGCG